UGGUUGUCGUCAGCUCGUGUCGUGAGAUGUUGGGUUAAGUCCCGCAACGAGCGCAACCCUCGACCUUAGUUGCCAGCAUUCAGUUGGGCACUCUAAGGUGACUGCCGGCUAAAAGUCGGAGGAAGUGGGGAUGACGUCAAAUCAUCAUGCCCCUUAUGACCUGGGCUACACACGUGCUACAAUGGGCGGUACAAAGGGUCGCGAACCCGCGAGGGGGAGCCAAUCCCAAAAAAGCCGCUCUCAGUUCGGAUUGCAGGCUGCAACUCGCCUGCAUGAAGCCGGAAUCGCUAGUAAUCGCGGAUCAGCAUGCCGCCGGUGAACUACGCUCCCGGGCCUU
rnacentral:rRNA from 1 species